rnacentral:rRNA from 1 species
AAUCAACGCUGGCGGCGUGCCUCAGACAUGCAAGUCGAACGCUGCUGUUCGCCUUCGGGUGGACAGCGGAGUGGCGCACGGGUGAUAACACGUAGGUAAUCUACCUUUGGGUGGGGAAUAACAGCCGGAAACGGCUGCUAAUACCGCAUAAUGCAGCGGCAUCACAUGAUGACAGUUGUUAAAGCGGGGGAGUCGUAAGACC